rnacentral:rRNA from 1 species
AUUGAACGCUGGCGGCAGGCCUAACACAUGCAAGUCGAACGAGUGGCGGACGGGUGAGUAAUGUCUGGGAAACUGCCUGAUGGAGGGGGAUAACUACUGGAAACGGUAGCUAAUACCGCAUACCAUCAGAUGUGCCCAGAUGGGAUUAGCUAGUUGGUGGGGUAACGGCUCACCAAGGCGACGAUCCCUAGCUGGUCUGAGAGGAUGACCAGCCACACGGGAACGGGGAAACGGCCCAGACCCCUACGGGAGGCAGCAGUGGGGAAUAUGGCAAAAUGGGGGAAAGCCGGAGGCAGCCAUGCCGCGUGUAUGAAGAAGGCCUUGGGGUUGUAAAGUACUUUCGGCGGGGAGGCGUUACCCGAAGAAGAAGCACCGGCUAACUCCGUGCCAGCAGCCGCGGUAAUAC